AGGGCUUGACAUCCUACUAACGAAGCAGAGAUGCAUCAGGUGCCCUUCGGGGAAAGUAGAGACAGGUGGUGCAUGGUUGUCGUCAGCUCGUGUCGUGAGAUGUUGGGUUAAGUCCCGCAACGAGCGCAACCCUUGUUGCCAGUUGCUACGCAAGAGCACUCUGGCGAGACUGCCGUUGACAAAACGGAGGAAGGUGGGGACGACGUCAAAUCAUCAUGCCCCUUAUGUCCUGGGCGACACACGUACUACAAUGGCGGUCAACAAAGAGAGGCAAAGCCGUGAGGUGGAGCAAAUCUCAAAAAGCCGUCCCAGUUCGGAUCGCAGGCUGCAACCCGCCUGCGUGAAGUUGGAAUCGCUAGUAAUCGCGGAUCAGCAUGCCGCGGUGAAUACGUUCCCGGGCC
rnacentral:rRNA from 1 species